rnacentral:snRNA from 1 species
AUGGGAUAGUAUUGGGUC